CCUACGGGAGGCAGCAGUGGGGAAUAUUGCACAAUGGGGGGAACCUUGAUGCAGCGACGCCGCGUGAGUGAAGAAGUCUUUCGGUAUGUAAAACUCUAUCAGCAGGGAAGAAAAUGACGGUACCUGAUUCAGAAGCCCCGGCUAACUACGUGCCAGCAGCCGCGGUAAUACGUAGGGGGCAAGCGUUAUCCGGAUUUACUGGGUGUAAAGUGAGCGUAGACGGCAGCACAAGUCUGGAGGGAAAGGCCGGGGCUUAACCCCGGAACUGCUUUGGAAACUGUGCAGCUAGAGUGCAGGAGAGGUAAGUGGAAUGCCUAGUGUAGCGGUGAAAUGCGUAGAUAUUAGGAGGAACACCAGUGGCGAAGGCGGCUUACUGGACUGUAACUGACGUUGAGGCUCGAAAGCGUGGGGAGCAAACAGGAUUAGAUACCCGGGUAGUC
rnacentral:rRNA from 1 species